AUGUCCUCAUUCCUCCAGCGGUGGCGUACAGGUGGUGCCUUCCUGCAUGCCAGGUCUGUGACAGGCGACCCCAGGUCUCUCUCACCCUCUGCAGAAGAGAAGAAAGAUUCUCAACCAGGACACAUCUUCCCUAGAGGCACAAGACGCACAGGAUGCCUCUUAGGGGCACGGCUGCCCACCCCUGCGCACCCUCCAACCCAUGACCACCCUGGUUGGGCUCCCAGGUGGGGAAACAGAUGGUGGGUAGAUCGCUUGUGUGGGAGGCAGGGGCUGUUUCCUGACAUUCACGGCAGUGUCCCAAGGCCCAGAAGCCUCCAGGAGGGGCCACAAAGACUUUGUCUCCAGAGGUCAAAGGGUAACUCAGGCAGCCUAGAUGGGCCUGCACAACCACCAGAGCUCAGGGGACAAGACAGGCACUGGGUUUUUUGGGAAACCCUGCAACUGAUAUCCUAGGGAUCCAAAGGGACCUAUGGGGUCAUGUCUGUCACCACUCAGUCCCUAGUCAAACACUCCCACUGCCCUGAGGAUAUGGGCCAGAAGUGGGGAGGCCCUCCCCUGUGUACUUCCCAGGCCAGUCAGCAGAAUAGCUAACUGUGGGGUGAACGUGGCCUCUAGAGGUCGUCUAGGGGUGGGUCCUUAGCUUCGGGAUGUAGGGGAAGGGCUCCUACUCCUGGCAGAGGCCCAGUCCACAAAGGCUCCAGCUGGGACCAAGCUAGAGGAGGCUGAACAAGGGGACAGGGUGGUCUCUGCUUAUCUUGCCAUGAGCAGGACCCCAGGUCUCCCUCUCCUUUUUUUCUAGGGGUCCUUUGCAUAGGUUCCUGCCACACUGAGCCCAUCUCAGCUGGCCCAAGCCUUGGGGAGCCAAGCCGGGCCCCUGAAGACGCCUUACUCCCACUCCUGCACUGCUUGCUUCAUCUAAUUUAUUCACUCAGCCAUUUGAUGAGGAUUUAUUGAGCACCUGCUGUGUGCCAGGCCCUGUGCUCAUCACUGGGGAGGUACCAAUGAGCAAAGGAAACAAAAAUCCCUGUCUUGUUGGAGCUCAGAUUUGAGGAGAGGAGUGUGUUUACAGAUAAUAGAUACAAUAAAUGGGUAAAUUAUAGAGUCUUGCA
rnacentral:lncRNA from 1 species